rnacentral:lncRNA from 1 species
CUGGUGUAUGUCUUUUCCUUUAACAUCUGAAACGUAAUCAAGAUGGUUAAACUUGCUUGCGUUUUGUUCUCUUGUUUAAAUCAUAUGUAAUGACGGUGCAUUGUGUUAUCUACACAUGGAGUCAGUAGCUUCAUGGUGCUCUUGACGAUUUCUGUUUAACAGGAUUUUCACAUGUUCCACACUGCCUGCAAAGCUGCAGAAUUUUAUAGCUAGACCGCCAUGUAGCUAUUCCCUUGUUAUGAGACAUUACUAUCCAAGUUUGCUAUAUCAGGAAGGUUGUGAUAUUAAAUACAUAAGGAUAUGCAUGUAUACAUACUCAUACAAACACACACACACUCACACACUCACACAUCUGUAAUUCUCUGUUCUUUCUUUGAAAGUUCCCCAAAGAAAUUUGGCAAAAGUCUUGUGGGAGUAGCUGUUCCUUCCCCCUUCCACUUUCCAUUUUAGGGGUUCAGAUCAGCCUCACCCCCAAUCUAGUACAGCCCCAGAACUCAACAGAUACCCUUUAGGGGCAAUAGAUGUUGAGUCCCUCAAUUUUCCUCUGUUCCCCUCCCCAGCAAGGAAUCCUCCUGUCAGGUACAACCCUCACCCUCUGUUCCCCUCACCAGCAAGGACUCCCAGGCGUCAGGUACAGCCCUCCCCUUCUGUUCUCCUCCCCAGCAAAGACUCCCUCCUUUCAGGUACACCCUCACCCUCUGUUCCCCUCCCCAGCAAGGACUCCCACCUGUCAGGUGCAGCCCUCACCCUCUGUUCCCCUCCCCAGCAAGGACUCCCUCCUGUCAGGUACAGCCCUCACCUGUCAGAAUCAGCGCCGUCUCCAGCUCCUCUCAGACGCCUUCUGUCUGGAUGCUGCUGCAGCUCUCCCUUGCUCCUCACUCUCCCAGAAGGCACUGGUGUCUAUCGUCCUCCAGACUGAGGGCGCCGUGAAUGCAGAAAGCCCUGUCUUGCUCUGGAACAGUGGCGGGGGAGGUCACUCUGGUACAGGUGACAUCAGAGAGGCUGUGACUUCACCCUUCUGGGCACCGCAUGCUGGGUGAGCCGGUCUGUGGGGAAUUCCUGCGUCCAUGCAAGCAGACUUGAAUUGAGGAGGCAGCGUCCGCGGGCUGGGAUAACUGGUUUUUUUUCUCAGUUCAGCACUUGCACGUGAGGGUCCUGGCACCGCAGCAGGAGCCUGGGAAGCCUCCUGACAGAGUUUCUGAGCCAGUGAAGUGAGGGCAGGGUAAACACCAGGAUCCUGUCCCAGAGCCUCGGACACGCCUGUCAACACAAGGGCUACUUUCAAAUCCUGGCUGAAUCUCUGUGUCAAUAACACAGCACAGUGACUGUUGGCUGUUCUGCAGCUCGGAGGAUGCGAUCGCACGUGGCUGUCUGUUCACAGGGACGUGAGCGCUGGCGACUCUGGCAGGCUCUGUGAGGCGGGCUUGGGCUCGGAGUCGGGAUGUCAGGCAGUCCUCUGCCGUCUGUGUGGGCCCCGGGAAGCCACUCAAGGAAUCCAGGCAUCAGAUUCCUUUCUUUGCCUGGGUAUUGGGAGUAGCAGGCGCCACCUUUGCCUCGCGGGGCCAUCCUGAAGUUCAGGUGAACGCUUCUUUGAAAGGGGAGCUGGCUCCAAGGAAGCGGACAUCAGUUCAGAGCAGCCACUUACUGGACAACCCCUGGCGGCCGUGGCUAUUAGCUGACCUUCGUGGAGGGGUCCACCCAGCUCGUGUCCCUUCUUGACCUCGGUUAUCGUGACAAGUGACGAACGCUGCGGUGGACAGCCACAGUAACUACCACGGUGAUUCUGUAACUCACCUCUGCUCCAUGCCUCAUUGCAGCCCUCAUCCCCUCCUUGGGCAGGUGCCCGGCUUCUUGGCCUCACAAGUCCAAGUGGACGGAAAAGCACAAAGUAGGGAAGUGACUCUGACCUUUUGUAGGGAGGUGACUCUGACCUUUUGUUUAAGAGUCAGUGCGGGAGGUGAGAUCGACUGCAGAGGAAGGGAGCAGCGAGGCACUGAUGCUGACUCCGUCCCGCGGGCCCACGUCGGACGCAACAGGAAGCAGCAGGCCGUCUGCAGACCAGGACGUCACGUAGACGUAGGAUUGGGUUUGUACACCAAGCACAGUGUCCCUUCUUGGUUUCUACUUUUCGGUGUCUUGGGUUCUGGGUGCCCCCUUUUGAAGACACUAUUUCUUUUUCCCUAAUCUGUGUCUAAAAGAGGUCCCAGUGAUCCUUUCCUCCUGAAAACCCAACACCAAUGUGCUCACUUCUAACACUUUCUUUUAGAAGCAGAGCGAGAGCGAGAGAAAGCGCUCGUCCAUGGUUUCACUCCCCAGAUGCCCAUAACAGCCAGGGCCGUGCCGGGCUGAAGCCAGGGGCCAGGAACUCGCUCCGGGUCCGACGCGAGCGGUGGGAACCCAGCUGCUGGAGCCAUCAGCACGUCCCGCAUUAGCAGCAUCCGGAGUCAGAGCUGGCAACCAAGUUCAGGUUCUCUGCCGUGGAUGUGGACGUCUUAGCCGCUAGGCUAAAUAUUCACUCCUCUUAGACAUUUUUAAUGCUUGUCAGGGUUGUAUUUUACAAAUAGCCAGCUGUACACUUGCCACCAUGUCUGUUAGAUUCGAAUUGGUGUUAAGUGGCUUAGAAGUCUUCUUAUGGUCUGUUUUGAAGAGAAGACAUUUUUUAUUUGAUUUUGUCUGCUUUUUAAAAGAUUUAUUUAUUUAUUUGAAAGUCAGAGUUAUAGAGAGAAGGAGAGACAGAUCCUCCACCCACUGGUUCACUCUCAAGUUGGCUGCAAUGGGCAGGGCUGGACCAGGCCGAAGCCGGGAGCUUCCUCCAGGUUUCCCACAUGGGUAGCAGGGCCCAAGCACUUGGGCCACCUUCCACUGCUUCUCUCAGGCCAUUAGCAGGGAGCUGGAUGGGAAGUGGAGCAGCCAGGACACGAGCCGAUGCCCAUAUAGCAUGCUGGCACUACAGGCGGUGACUUAACCUGCUAUGCAGCUAUGCUGGCCCUGAAUUCACAUGUUUUAAUAAAGUAAAAUAAGUAAUGAUAGCA